GCCGCGCAGCCAGUUAUUCCGCCCCCGGCUCCGCACCCGCGUCUCGGACGUUCCCGCGGCCAACGUUUAGGGCACCAGGCGCUGUGCUAGGCGCCGCGGUUAUAAAGAUAAUCGGUUUUGUUGAGCCCAGGAAUGUUCGGGUUAAUCUGUUUUCUCUAAUCAAACACUUAAUCAUCCAGUCUCUCUGCGUUAUGGAUUCAUGAAUGUGAAGUGAGGAGAGUUGCUCAGUCAAGGUUUUUCACGUACUGCACAUCCAAGCUAGGUAAUGUCUCUGCAACUGCUGCUUCCUGAUGAUUAUAUUCAUCUGAAAUGACUAAGCUUGGUAAAUUAGGCUAAGUCAAGUCUGUGGAGCAGUCAAGGGACGAAUGAAGAAAAGAAUGUAAUGGAGGCUACACCAGAGACGUGGGAAUCUAUCAGCAUGUGGCAAGGAAGGAAGAACAUGGCUAUGUCUUCUAUAUAAAGAGUUGCCUGCAUUCUUCUCAGAAAAAAAAAAGACAAUGGAAAGGCAAUGAGUCAUGAGUCUUGAGUUCUAAGCCUGGUUCUACCAUUUGCUAGCUGUAUGAUAAGAAGCAUGUUUGUUAAACCUCUGAGCCUCAGCUUAUACAUAUACGAAACAGGAAAAAUAGUAACAUAGCCUGCCAUCUUCACGGAUUUGUGAAAAGGUCUUUUAAAUAUCCAAAAAGCUUAGUAUGUAUAAGAAAGAUUAAAUUUAAGCUAUGGGUAUGACACAAAAAUAUACUUGAAAAUUAUUCUUAAAUUUCACCAUAUUUAGGAAGUGGCUAAAUAUAAACAUAAUAUUCCUACUUCUGCAUUUCCUAUUUCUCUCUUUGCAUUUUAAAUUCAGAGGAAGUUAUCUCAUUUAUUAAUUGUAACAUUUAAAUAGUAUACAUUUCUGUCAUUUAAAAGUGGUACUGACAAUGUAGUUAAACCUUUAUUAUCUUUUAUUGGUCUAAUAAAUAAAAGUGCAUGACUAAAAACAGGCCACAAAUAUCAAUGAUUUUGGGGAUUUCGCCCUACAGGAAAAUCAUACAAUGCAUUUGGAAAAAGGUCAUUCUGACUUGUCCUCUACGAAAAUUUCUGCACAAAAGCUUAAAGCACAAGUGUUUACAGGAUUCUUGGUGACAAGAAAAGUGAUAGUAAAUGUGCUUUAGCACUGAAAUUCCUGUAUCCAUGGAGACCUGUGAAGUUCUGUGAGCACACACACACGGCCUGCAGUAUUUAUUGAAGAGCUAAGACAGCGAUCAGUGGGUUACUAUGCUGUGAAAAGCCGACAGAUUGCCAGGAGCUGCUAUGCACAGGCAUGGAUGAGGUUGUUUUUCCCCUGCUAAAUGUAAUUACAGAGAAAUUCAGAAGUCUCAGAUAUUACUGAGAAAAAAAACAUGUUUAUUUAUUUAUAUGUA